AUUGAACGCUGGCGGCAGGCCUAACACAUGCAAGUCGAACGAGUGGCGGACGGGUGAGUAAUGUCUGGGAAACUGCCUGAUGGAGGGGGCUAACUACUGGAAACGGUAGCUAAUACUGCAUACCAUCAGAUCUGCCCUGAUGGGAUUAGCUUGUUGGUGGGGUAACGGCUCACCAAGGCGACGAUCCCUAGCUGGUCUGAGAGGAUGACCAGCCACAGUGGAACUGAGAGACGGUCCAGAAUCCUACGUGAGGCAGCAGUGGGGAAUAUUGGACAAUGGGCGCAAGCCUGAUGCAGCAAUGCGGCGUGAAUGAAGAAGGCCUUCGGGUUGUAAAGGACUUUAAGCGGGGAGGCGUUACCCACAGAAGAAGCACCGGCUAACUCCGUGCCAGCAGCCGCGGUAAUAC
rnacentral:rRNA from 1 species